ensembl:lncRNA
GCAGCAUUUGGCAGCGUUUGCACAUCUCCGCUGAGUUGCACACUUGUUGCUUGGUUUCUAUCGGAUGGAUGCGGCCACGCAGGGUCAGCAGGCCCGGCAGCAGCAGCAGCAGCUCCAGCGCAACACAGCGCGCCAUACCCGAGCGAUGUGUUGACAUCGUGCAGAAAUUGAAUUAGAAGCUGCAGUUUCUGCGCCGCAGAGGAGCCGGAAUGCUACCUGCAGGCCGGAGACGGAGGCUCUCCAGCCCCGCGUGCACACGCCUCGGAGGACACUCACGGUCCAUCAGGUGUCCUGGUAGGAAGUCUGGACUGAGGACACGUUUCAGCUGAUCACCUUCACGCCAAGAUAAUCUACUCACCAGGUCAUGAUAGUCUUAAUUAGAGGGCUAUUAUUAAAAAGAAUUUGUUUUUCUCAGAUUCCUCAGAAAUUGUAGUGUUAUUUAUGCCAACCAAUAAGUGUCCUAUAGCGUUUUUAAGAAGCUUUUCCAUCCACGUGGCCAUGUGGGUUUGAAGAGUGGAGACAAUGAUGGUCCAACAUGCAGGAAGCAUGCGGGUAGGUUCCCCACAGGGAGCUUGGUUGCAGAGAACAACUCAAAGUGACAGGUAAAGAGGCCAUGCUUGUUUACAUUGUGCUAUAUUCUGGUCAUACAAAUGAUUCUGGGCUGCUCACUUUCAAUCAAAACCUUUUUUUAUCACCCUUUUAACAUAGAUCUAGAAACUAAUGUACUACAGAAUGUCAAUCUACAUUUAACAACCUCUACAGUCAUCCAAGACCGAGGAUGCUGUACACAUUGCAAAGCCCCCUGAUGACACAUUUUGAUUUUACGCUAUAUAAAUACAACUUGAAUUAAAUUAGAAUUAAAAUAGUUUGUAAUCAGAUAUUUGAAAGCUUUUUUAGUUUUGAAGGUCUUACAAUCACCAGAUUUUCAUAUAUUGCGCAAUUCACUGAAAUAAUAAACGCUCAAAUAUCCCUCUUUUGAAUUGUAAAAAUGGAAUCAUAUUUAUUAUGUUAUUAAUUGCAGGAUUUUGCCACAAUCCUGAUUUUUAUUGUGACGAUACAAAUUAAUCCAAAGUCAAAUGUUGUAAAGUAAGGAUCUUUUUUUCUUCUAAAUACUAAAUUAUACACAGCCCAUCAUAACAAUAAGCAAAUGUGGUUCGCUGAAGGAAACCAAAAUAAAUGUUUCAAGCCAUGUAUGAAUUAGCAUUUAUAUGUAUUUGCACCGAGCGUCCCAGCAUGCAUAAGAUUGGUAAUAUAGUGAACGAGGGCCACAGUUUGGAUGUGAUUAGCAAGCAGCAUAAGUAAAAGCAUUCACAUAAACUGCUUUUCCUUUAAAGAAAUGCUGAUAAGAUUAUUCCCUCGGGUCCAAAAGCACAUGCAGACAUUUCUGUUCUGUUCUGCUCUUGAGCAAAGAAGCUAGCAGGAGGUCCGAAAAGUUACUUUAUCUUGUAAAGUCUCCAAAUGGGAAAUGACAGAUGAUAGUAAAGCUGUCACAGCUAAACUACACUUUAAAUUAAUGAUGGACUUGGUAGUUAAUGGUAAUUAAAAACGGUUGGCGUCCAUCAUCUUUUAGUAAAGUAAAAAUGUACGCAGCCUGCCGUCAUUCAAUAUUGUCUAUGCUAAUCUGCUAGCACCAUGAUUUGUGCCAGUCAGAUGUCUCCGGUUAUACGCCACUGCAAAUGAAAAUAAACAACACAAAUAAAAAAAAAUACAAUAUGAAUGAAAUAAAAAGUGAUUCAAAUGAAUCUUACAAACAUACCCCCCCCUCCACACACACACACACACACACACACACACACACACACACACACACACACACACACACACACACACACAAAUAAAAACAGUACUGCGAGCUAAUGCUAAUGCUUUCGAGUGACCACACCAAAUACAGGAGAAUCAGUGACAUCAGCCAGACUUAGUUUUAAUGUAACCCAAUUGGCCCUGGGAAGAUUGAUAAGCGUUCACUUUGCACUUCAUUUUGCUUCCUGUUCAGAGUUCACACGUUUGAACUCAGGGUCGGUGGCACAGCACAUUAAAGUUUACACCAUUUACAUGUCAGGGAGAGAAUUCUCUUCACCAUGAGAUUUGACUCAGUGAGGAGGGCUUUAUUGCUUUGCAAAGGACAUAUCUUUGUCAGUUACUGUUAGAAUACAUGCAUCAGAACAUGACAAGUUUAGUAUUUUAGAAUUAAAAUUGAUAUAUAGCUUACAGUGCCCAGAACCUUGAAGUGCCAUUACAAUGACUUGUUGCAAAUGACCAAAUAAGCAAAUUCAUUUCAAACUCACAUUAUGCAUAUACAUUUUAUUGUGCAUUAUUCUUGUAAAUUACAACUCAUCAUAUUUUCUUUUUAUGUUUCAAAA